rnacentral:rRNA from 1 species
GAUCCUGGCUCAGGACGAACGCUGGCGGCGCGCCUAACACAUGCAAGUCGAACGAGAGAGAGGGAGCUUGCUUCCUUGAUCGAGUGGCGAACGGGUGAGUAACGCGUGAGGAACCUGCCUCAAAGAGGGGGACAACAGUUGGAAACGACUGCUAAUACCGCAUAAGCCCACGACCCGGCAUCGGGAAGAGGGAAAAGGAGCAAUCCGCUUUGAGAUGGCCUCGCGUCCGAUUAGCUAGUUGGUGAGG